ACCACGACUCUCGACAAUGGAUAUCUCGGCUCUCGUUUCGAUGAAGAACGUAGCGAAAUGCGAUACUUUGUGUGAAUUGCAGAAUCGUUGCGCCCGAGGCCUAGGUCGAGGGCACGUCUGGCUGGGUGUGA
rnacentral:rRNA from 1 species